rnacentral:rRNA from 1 species
UACGAAGGACCCGAGCGUUAUCCGGAUUUAUUGGGUUUAAAGGGUGCGUAGGCGGGUUAUUAAGUCAGUGGUGAAAGCCUACAGCUUAACUGUAGAAUUGCCAUUGAUACUGAUAAUCUUGAGUAUGAUUGAGGUGGGCGGAAUGUGUCAUGUAGCGGUGAAAUGCUUAGAUAUGACACAGAACACCGAUUGCGAAGGCAGCUCACUAAGCCAUAACUGACGCUGAUGCACGAAAGCGUAGGGAGCAAACAGG